rnacentral:lncRNA from 1 species
CGGUUUGCUGACGCAUCUCGCGUGCGUUCAAAUUUGCGCGCGCUAAAACUAUUUCUAUGACAGCAUUUCGCGAAUAUUUCUGAGCGUUUAUUCAAUAUCCUGCUUUUGUCAGCUUCCAGUAAGCAAACCUUCUCUUCAAGGCACAGAUUGCAUCUUGCUGCACCAGCCGUAUACGCACGGGCACGCUUUAGUAUGCUCCACUUGAUGUUGUAUUGCUUCCCGCUUUUCUUGAGUUUCCACGCAUACUUUGAUAACUCUGUUUCCGCUGAAUACCGAGGAACAGUUAGUGAUUUUUUAUGGUUCGCAUGCCUCUUCUUGAACGUCCCCGCCGUCAUUCCAAUGUAUUCCUUCGUU